AAUGCUGAACAGGGAGACAAAAAUACCGAGGCAUACUCCACACCGAAACCUCCUGAUGAAACGAUGAAGUUUGAUACUUUUGAGGAAGCUUAUGAACACUACAGGCAAUAUGCACUGAGACAUGGGUUUGGAAUGAGACUGGAAUACAGAAAAACAAUUAAAGACAAUACUGUAAGUAGAGUCCUCUUGGUUUGUGGGAAAUACGGCAAGCCAAAAACAAACAAGGAGGAGACAGAGGAUGUGCAGGACCCAAAAGGCAUCGUGAAGAAGAGGAAAAGAGGGAAGGUUAUGAGGUCGGGAUGUCCGGCCCACCUUUACAUCACCCACACGGACGCGUGGUGGAGAGUCAAACGCUUCAACGACGACCACAACAACCCUCUAAUAAGAAAGUCGUCCUUGACAAAGUUCCUAUCAACACAUAGGAACAUUCCAAAAGAUGAGCAGGACUUCUUGAAGAUAUUGCAUGGAUGCAACAUAGAGACAGCAAGACAAAUGCAACUAAUGGAAUGGUUCUAUGGGAAUCCUAAAGAUGUACCAUACACAACAAAGGACAUCGCAAACUAGCGAGCUAAAUUCCGGAUGGAGUACCGCCAUGCUGAUGUGGGGAGCACAAUCUCGUACUUCCAAGAUAUGAAGGCACAAGAUCCAGAUUUCUAUUGGAGAAUAAAGCUUGAUGAUGAGGACAGAGCGUAUGACCAGACUGACAAUGAGCAUUUCCAAUGGCUGUGGGAGAACAGGAAGUGUUGGGUCCCGGUAUACUAUAUGCAUGAUUUUUUCCCGUUCUUGCAGACCACGGCAAGAAGCGAGGGUUUUAACUCUGUGCUCAAGAAGUAUGUCAACCCAAACAACUCACUGGUCGAAUUCGCACAAUAGUUCACUACAAUACAGGAUAAGGUGAUGGCUAGCUCAAAAGAGCAAUUGGAAAUAGUGUACAAAGAAACCAAAAUGUACUCGAUGAACCCGCUGGAGAUGCAGGUGCGGGGGCUGUACACACAUAACUUGUUUUGCAAGUUCCAGGUGGAGAUGAAGGUGAAAUCAGCAUACAGAUGCGACGCAUUGGAUGAUGGUACUUUCAAGGUCAGCUCAGUGCGGGGGAUAAUACCAAAAUAUGGAGACAGGGACUACCAUGUGCAAGCAAAAAUGGAUGAAGAGACAUACUCGUGCAGUUGCUGCAAGCUUGAUCGUGACGGGCUACUGUGCGCGCACGUACUAUGAGUUAUGGGCCAAAUUGGGUUAUACGAGAUACCUGAAAAGUACAUCCUAAAGAGGUGGACCUGGGAUCCAGAGGAGGAUCUUAUUCAACCUAAUUUCGAACAGUCGACAGUUAAGAAGUUGGUGUCAGAGGAGGGGAAAAGCGUCAUGCGAUACACGUCAAUUCUUAAAGAAUUUAAGGCAUCAGCCAAAGUCGCUUGCCUAACAGAUGACGGGACCAGAUUGGCAAGAAAACACCUGUAUAAUUUCAAGGAGGAGCUUGAAACCCUGAAGAACAAUCGACUUAAAAAAGCAAGAAAGGAAAAGGAAGAAGCAAAAGGAUCGUUUCAAGGACAGUCGGAUCCCUGCUCGAUACCUAUAGGGCGGAUGAAUGAAGACAACCCCGUCACACAGCACCAAAACGCCCCCGUUGCAAGACAUCCGGAGAACCCAGCCACACAGCAAACAAGUGCCACUAAUGUGCAGCAACAAGAGAACCCCGCCACACAACAAGAAAGUGCUACUAAUAUGCAGCGAUAG
rnacentral:rRNA from 1 species